GAGGGUAUAGCUCAGUUGGUCAGAGCGCCACGUUGACAUCGUGGAGGCCAGUGGUUCGAAUCCACUUAUCCUCACCA
rnacentral:tRNA from 1 species